GCCUUCGUGGUGUAAUGGUCAACACACUCGGUGAGUAUUCGAGAGGUCUGAGGUUCGAGUCCUGGCGAGGGCA
rfam:Stegodyphus mimosarum contig58460, whole genome shotgun sequence.